rnacentral:rRNA from 1 species
GAUGAACGCUGGCGGCGUGCCUAAUACAUGCAAGUCGAGCGAACAGACGAGGAGCUUGCUCCUCUGACGUUAGCGGCGGACGGGUGAGUAACACGUGGAUAACCUACCUAUAAGACUGGGAUAACUUCGGGAAACAGGAGCUAAUACCGGAUAAUAUAUUGAACCGCAUGGUUCAAUAGUGAAAGUCGGUUUUGCUGUCACGUAUAGAUGGUUCUGCGCCGCAUUAGCUAGUUGGUAAGGUAACGGCUUACCAAGGCAACGAUGCGUAGCCGAACUGAGAGGAGGAUCGGCCGCAUUGGAGGUGAGACACCGUCCAGACGACUGCGGGAGGCAGCAGUAGGGAAUCUUCCGCAAUGGGCGGAAGCCUGACGGAGCAACGCCGCGUGAGUGAUGAAGGUCUUCGGAUCGUAAAACUCUGUUAUUAGGGAAGAACAAAUGUGUAAGUAACUAUGCACGUCUUGACGGUACCUAAUCAGAAAGCCACGGCUAACUACGUG